rnacentral:rRNA from 1 species
CCUACGGGUGGCUGCAGUGGGGAAUAUUGGACAAUGGGCGAAAGCCUGAUCCAGCCAUGUCGCGUGUGUGAAGAAGGCCUUCGGGUUGUAAAGCACUUUCAGUGGGGAAGAAAGCCUUGGGGCUAAUACCCUCGAGGAAGGACAUCACCCACAGAAGAAGCACCGGCUAACUCCGUGCCAGCAGCCGCGGUAAUACGGAGGGUGCGAGCGUUAAUCGGAAUUACUGGGCGUAAAGCGCGCGUAGGCGGUCUGAUAAGCCGGUUGUGAAAGCCCCGGGCUCAACCUGGGAACGGCAUCCGGAACUGUCAGGCUAGAGUGCAGGAGAGGAAGGUAGAAUUCCCGGUGUAGCGGUGAAAUGCGUAGAGAUCGGGAGGAAUACCAGUGGCGAAGGCGGCCUUCUGGACUGACACUGACGCUGAGGUGCGAAAGCGUGGGUAGCAAACAGGAUUAGAUACCCCUUAGUC